GUUCUGACAGAGAGGUGAGGAACAGGUCUAUCUUCUGUCUCAUCUCACACCGUUCUGACAGAGAGGUGAGGAACAGGUCUAUCUUCUGUCUCAUCUCACACCGUUCUGACAGAGAGGUGAGGAACAGGUCUAUCUGUCUCAUCUCACACCGUUCUGACAGAGAGAGGUGAGGAACAGGUCUAUCUGUCUCAUCUCACACCGUUCUGACAGAGAGAGGUGAGGAACAGGUCUAUCUGUCUCAUCUCACACCGUUCUGACAGAGAGGUGAGGAACAGGUCUAUCUGUCUCAUCUCACACCGUUCUGACAGAGAGGUGAGGAACAGGUCUAUCUGUCUCAUCUCACACCGUUCUGACAGAGAGAGGUGAGGAACAGGUCUAUCUGUCUCAUCUCACACCGUUCUGACAGAGAGAGGUGAGGAACAGGUCUAUCUUCUGUCUCAUCUCACACCGUUCUGACAGAGAGAGGUGAGGAACAGGUCUAUCUGUCUCAUCUCACACCGUUCUGACAGAGAGGUGAGGAACAGGUCUAUCUUCUGUCUCAUCUCACACCGUUCUGACAGAGAGAGGUGAGGAACAGGUCUAUCUUCUGUCUCAUCUCACACCGUUCUGACAGAGAGGUGAGGAACAGGUCUAUCUUCUGUCUCAUCUCACACCGUUCUGACAGAGAGGUGAGGAACAGGUCUAUCUUCUGUCUCAUCUCACACCGUUCUGACAGAGAGAGGUGAGGAACAGGUCUAUCUUCUGUCUCGUCUCACACCGUUCUGACAGAGAGAGGUGAGGAACAGGUCUAUCUUCUGUCUCAUCUCACACCGUUCUGACAGAGAGGUGAGGAACAGGUCUAUCUGUCUCAUCUCACACCGUUCUGACAGAGAGGUGAGGAACAGGUCUAUCUG